CGAACGCUGGCGGCGUGCUUAACACAUGCAAGUCGAACGGUGAAGCGCCUUCCUUUUUGGUGGGUGUGGAUGAGUGGCGAACGGGUGAGUAACACGUGAGUAACCUGCCCCCUUCUUCUGGAUAACCGCAUGAAAGUGUGGCUAAUACGGGAUAUUCUGGGUCUGUCGCAUGAUGGGUCUGGGAAAGAUAUUGUUUCGGUGGGGGAUGGGCUCGCGGCCUAUCAGCUUGUUGGUGGGGUGAUGGCCUACCAAGGCGGUGACGGGUAGCCGGCCUGGGAGGGUGGACGGUCACACUGGGACUGCGACACGGCCCAGACUCCUACGGGAGGCAGCAGUGGGGAAUAUUGCACAAUGGGCGCAAGCCUGAUGCAGCGACGCCGCGUGAGGGAUGGAGGCCUUCGGGUUGUGAACCUCUUUCGCCAGUGAAGCAGGCCUGCCUCGUUUGUGGGUGGGUUGACGGUAGCUGGAUAAGAAGCGCCGGCUAACUACGUG
rnacentral:rRNA from 1 species